rnacentral:snoRNA from 1 species
CUGCAGCCAAUUAAAUCCACCUCAGGGGGCCCGGUAGUGACUGUGGAGAGCAGCCUCGGUGGUAGUGAACGUAGCCUGUUGCCUAUAUGUGUUUCCCAAAAAACCCCGGAUAUGGUU